CUGGUUGCUUAUAUAUCGUUUCAGUUUUGCGUUUAUUGUGUGGUUGGAGUGUUAAUUGCUUUCACCUGUCUGGUUUUUGGAGUUUUUCCUUAAGUCAGUUUUGGGUGAUUGCGAUCUGACACUCUAUUGUGCCUCUGCAGUAAACGAGUCCAUUGUAACGCUAUGAUCAGACAUAUGUUAAGAGGAAGGCCUAAGAAUCGAUUAAUUUCACGCCCUUUUCGCUAACAGGGACUAAAUUUCCUACAGUCCACAGUUUGAUAGUAGGUGGGCGGACAUCU
rnacentral:snoRNA from 1 species